rnacentral:rRNA from 1 species
AGUGAACGCUGGCGGUAGGCCUAACACAUGCAAGUCGAACGGCAGCACAGUAAGAGCUUGCUCUUACGGGUGGCGAGUGGCGGACGGGUGAGGAAUACAUCGGAAUCUACUUUUUCGUGGGGGAUAACGUAGGGAAACUUACGCUAAUACCGCAUACGACCUACGGGUGAAAGCAGGGGAUCUUCGGACCUUGCGCGAUUGAAUGAGCCGAUGUCGGAUUAGCUAGUUGGCGGGGUAAAGGCCCACCAAGGCGACGAUCCGUAGCUGGUCUGAGAGGAUGAUUCGACACACUGGCACUGAGACAGGGUCCAGACUCCUACGGGAGGACGCAGUGGGGAAUAUUGGGCAAUGGGGGAAAGCCUGAUCCAGCCAUACCGCGUGGGUGAAGAAGGCCUUCGGGUUGUAAAGCCCUUUUGUUGGGAAAGAAAAGCAGCAGGUUAAUACCCCGCUGUUCUGACGGUACCCAAAGAAUAAGCACCGGCUAACUUCGUG